UUUAUGGAUGCACGAGUAGUAUCUCUACUUGGUGCGGGAGUUUUGGCUAAUAUGAGGUGGAAGCAAUCGUCACAUGCUAAGGGAUCUCUAGACAUAUAACAUUGUUUGAAAUCAAGCAAACACAAUUCAUUAUGUUGUCUUUGUUGUCCAACAUCUACUUCUAAGCAUGUAAUAGUUUGGUGAGUGCUCACAAUUGUAAAAA
rnacentral:lncRNA from 1 species